rnacentral:rRNA from 1 species
AUUGAACGCUGGCGGCAGGCUUAACACAUGCAAGUCGAGCGGGGGAAGGUAGCUUGCUACCGGACCUAGCGGCGGACGGGUGAGUAAUGCUUAGGAAUCUGCCUAUUAGUGGGGGACAACAUCUCGAAAGGGAUGCUAAUACCGCAUACGUCCUACGAGAGGAAGCAGGGGAUCUUCGGACCUUGCGCUAAUAGAUGCGCCUAAGUCGGAUUAGCUAGUUGGUGGGGUAAAGGCCUACCAAGGCGACGAUCUGUAGCGGGUCUGAGAGGAUGAUCCGCCACACUGGGACUGAGACACGGCCCAGACUCCUACGGGAGGCAGCAGUGGGGAAUAUUGGACAAUGGGGGGAACCCUGAUCCAGCCAUGCCGCGUGUGUGAAGAAGGCCUUAUGGUUGUAAAGCACUUUAAGCGAGGAGGAGGCUACUUUAGUUAAUACCUAGAGAUAGUGGACGUUACUCGCAGAAUAAGCACCGACUAACUCUGUGCCAGCCGCCGCAGUAA